rnacentral:tRNA from 1 species
UAGGACUGGGUGUGAUGGGUAGCACAAAGGAUUUUGAAUCCUUUAGAGUAGGUUCAAUUCCUAUAGUUCUAG